rnacentral:rRNA from 1 species
AUUGAACGCUGGCGGCAGGCCUAACACAUGCAAGUCGGGCGGUAGCACAGGAGAGCUUGCUCUCCGGGUGACGAGCGGCGGACGGGUGAGUAAUGCCUGGGAAACUGCCUGAUGGAGGGGGAUAACUACUGGAAACGGUAGCUAAUACCGCAUAACGUCGCAAGACCAAAGAGGGGGACCUUCGGGCCUCUUGCCAUCGGAUGUGCCCAGAUGGGAUUAGCUAGUAGGUGAGGUAAAGGCUCACCUAGGCGACGAUCCCUAGCUGGUCUGAGAGGAUGACCAGCCACACUGGAACUGAGACACGGUCCAGACUCCUACGGGAGGCAGCAGUGGGGAAUAUUGCACAAUGGGCGCAAGCCUGAUGCAGCCAUGCCGCGUGUAUGAAGAAGGCCUUCGGGUUGUAAAGUACUUUCAGCGGGGAGGGAGGUGUUGUGGUUAAUAACCACAGCAAUUGACGUUACCCGCAGAAGAAGCACCGGCUAACUCCGUGCCAGCAGCCGCCGUAA